UCAGGCUGGAGGGAGCUAGCUGGGAGCAGCUGCUGUCUUAACUUGUUGAUCUACUUUAAAAGGCAGUGCACUUAGAGUGGGGUCAGCGUACUUAAAGGGAAAAUGCACGUCUCUCUUCACACACACUCACGGAGUGCGUGUGUCUCUCUUGCUCACACACA